rnacentral:lncRNA from 1 species
GAUGACAUGACAUCACAAAGACCCAAGGAAGAGAAAAGAGAACAAUAUAUGAACCCUCUAUUCAUUGAACAUAAGCCAUAUGUUAAUUAAACGUAAUGGGUUUCUCCAUUUCAUGCAAUUGGAAGAGCACGAGAACAACCUACGAACUUUACACUUCCUGUUCUAUUGGAAGAAAACUGAGAUAAGCCAUGGAACAUGUGCUCAAUGGGUAUUCGAUGACAAAUCAGUGCAUAGUUAAUUAAGUUUGAUUAACUAUUGGAGAUGACAGUUGAUGAGACCUCGAUGCUUUGAUAUAACCUUAAUGUUUUUCCCCACCUCUAAUUCAAACUAAAGAGUCUUGCGAUUUGAGAUAUUUUUCCCUUUUCAAACUAAUCAUAAC